AGAGUUUGAUUAUGGCUCAGGACGAACGCUGGCGGCGUGCUUAACACAUGCAAGUCGAGCGGUAAGGCCCUUUUGGGGGUACACGAGCGGCGAACGGGUGAGUAACACGUGGGUGACCUGCCCUUAGCUCUGGGAUAAGCCUGGGAAACUGGGUCUAAUACUGGAUAUGACUCCAUGUCGCAUGGUGUGGGGUGGAAAGCCUUGUGCGGCUAGGGAUGGGCCCGCGGCCUAUCAGCUUGUUGGUGGGGUGAUGGCCUACCAAGGCGACGACGGGUAGCCGGCCUGAGAGGGCGAUCGGCCACACUGGGACUGAGACACGGCCCAGACUCCUACGGGAGGCAGCAGUGGGGAAUUUUGCGCAAUGGGCGGAAGCCUGACGCAGCGACGCCGCGUGAGGGAUGACGGCCUUCGGGUUGUAAACCUCUUUCAGCCCUGACGAAGCCCUCUUGGGGGUGACGGUAGGGGUAGAAGAAGCACCGGCCAACUACGUGCCAGCAGCCGCGGUAAUACGUAGGGUGCAAGCGUUGUCCGGAAUUAUUGGGCGUAAAGAGCUCGUAGGCGGUCUGUCGCGUCGGCUGUGAAAUCCCGGGGCUCAACUCCGGGCUUGCGGUCGAUACGGGCAGGCUGGAGUUCGGCAGGGGAGACUGGAAUUCCUGGUGUAGCGGUGAAAUGCGCAGAUAUCAGGAGGAACACCGGUGGCGAAGGCGGGUCUCUGGGCCGAUACUGACGCUGAGGAGCGAAAGCGUGGGGAGCGAACAGGAUUAGAUACCCUGGUAGUCCACGCCGUAAACGUUGGGCGCUAGGUGUGGGAUCCCUUCCACGGGUUCCGUGCCGCAGCUAACGCAUUAAGCGCCCCGCCUGGGGGAGUACGGGCCGCAAGGCUAAAACUCAAAUGAAAUUGGACGGGG
rnacentral:rRNA from 1 species